rnacentral:rRNA from 1 species
CACGUAGGCACCAAGCGUUGUCCGGAUUUAUUGGGCGUAAAGAGCUCGUAGGCGGUUCGGUUAGUCGGGUGUGAAAACUUUGGGCUCAACCCAAAGCGUGCACUCGAUACUGCCGUGACUAGAGUUCGGUAGGGGAGUGGGGAAUUCCUAGUGUAGCGGUGAAAUGCGCAGAUAUUAGGAGGAACACCGGUGGCGAAGGCGACUACCUGGCCUGUUCUUGACGCUGAGGCGCGAAAGCUAGGGGAGCAAACGGG